AGUGAACGCUGGCGGUAGGCCUAACACAUGCAAGUCGAACGGCAGCACAGUAAGAGCUUGCUCUUACGGGUGGCGAGUGGCGGACGGGUGAGGAAUACAUCGGAAUCUACUUUUUCGUGGGGGAUAACGUAGGGAAACUUACGCUAAUACCGCAUACGACCUACGGGUGAAAGCAGGGGAUCUUCGGACCUUGCGCGAUUGAAUGAGCCGAUGUCGGAUUAGCUAGUUGGCGGGGUAAAGGCCCACCAAGGCGACGAUCCGUAGCUGGUCUGAGAGGAUGAUCAGCCACACUGGAACGGAGACACGGUCCAGACUCCUACGGGAGGCAGCAGUGGGGAAUAUUGGACAAUGGGCGCAAGCCUGAUCCAGCCAUACCGCGUGGGUGAAGAAGGCCUUCGGGUUGUAAAGCCCUUUUGUUGGGAAAGAAAAGCAGCAGGUUAAUACCCCGCUGUCCUGACGGUACCCAAAGAAUAAGCACCGGCUAACUUCGUG
rnacentral:rRNA from 1 species